ACCCCUUUUAACAAUAGGGAGCAGCUCGUGGCUGCAAAGAGGUUAUUAACUGUGGAAAUGGUGCUGUGAAGGAAAUCAUGCAUACUCGCUGCUGAUGGACUCGGUGAAUGGCUGGAGUGGAUUCUCACCUCUGUAUGCCAGAAGCUUUCCAAUGAUCUUUGAAUACUUGUUCGAUACCUAGUAUUUGGGGCAGCAUGAGAUGAACAGCAUAUGUGAAUGUUCACUGGCAAGAACUGUCUCCAUGGCCCCUGAGGACAAACCAUCGAAAUCACAGUACGGAGGACACUAUCAAGGAUGUUGCUGACAGCAUC